AGUGAACGCUGGCGGUAGGCCUAACACAUGCAAGUCGAACGGCAGCACAGUAAGAGCUUGCUCUUACGGGUGGCGAGUGGCGGACGGGUGAGGAAUACACCGGAAUCUACUUUUUCGUGGGGGAUAACGUAGGGAAACUUACGCUAAUACCGCAUACGACCUACGGGUGAAAGCAGGGGAUCUUCGGACCUUGCGCGAUUGAAUGAGCCGAUGUCGGAUUAGCUAGUUGGCGGGGUAAAGGCCCACCAAGGCGACGAUCCGUAGCUGGUCUGAGAGGAUGAUCAGCCACACUGGAACUGAGCAACGGUCCAGACUCCUACGGGAGGCAGCAGUGGGGAAUAUUGGACAAUGGGCGCAAGCCUGAUCCAGCCAUACCGCGUGGGUGAAGAAGGCCUUCGGGUUGUAAAGCCCUUUUGCUGGGAAAGAAAAGCAGCAGGUUAAUACCCCGCUGUUCUGACGGUACCCAAAGAAUAAGCACCGGCUAACUUCGUG
rnacentral:rRNA from 1 species